UGCGUAGGCGGUUUGUUAAGUCUGUUGUGAAAUCCCCGGGCUCAACCUGGGAAUGGCAAUGGAAACUGGCUAGCUAGAGUGUGUCAGAGGAUGGUGGAAUUUCCGGUGUAGCGGUGAAAUGCGUAGAGAUCGGAAGGAACAUCAGUGGCGAAGGCGGCCAUCUGGGACAACACUGACGCUGAAGCACGAAAGCGUGGGAGCAAACA
rnacentral:rRNA from 1 species